UGCUUCAUCUCAUCUCUCUCACAAGAAACACUCUCUCCUCAGCAAAUUAUCUCUAGCCAAAACACUUGGAGUUUUUUCUGCUGAAUCUCCCUGAAAACAAACUUUCCUUGCUUUCCCAUUGAAGCAGAUGAGAGGAAAAAUGCUUCUGUACCUGCACUCGAGUACAACCCCCUUACUUAUAUGUUCGUGUACAUGGCAGCCAAUCACUAUUUUCCAUAUGAGCCAGAGAAGUCCUACUCAACACAGGAACUUUGCCAUCUUCUGGGAACUGUAAUUGUGAAGAAGGCAUGGGUGCAAUCUAUAUUGGGUGGGUCCUACUAUCAUAGUCAUUUUCCCAUUUACUAGCAGGGUCAAGCUCUAUUACUACAUGUUUGAGAGACCUCAUAUGUAGGUGAUACGCUGGAGCAAGGCAUCCCCAAAAUAUGCUGGAGUGCUAGAUGCGAGUGAGAAAUAGUUCACUGUGAGGAUUCGGAGCUUUUGUUUUUCAAUUGGAUGAAGGUAUAUUUGCCUUCUGUAAUUUGCAAAAGCAUGAAGGCAUUUUUUUUAAUUGCUGGGAAGGAGCACAUUCAGCUUACUUGCAAUUUACGAUGACUAAUCUGGAAGGAUAGAACAAAGCACAGUUUAGUGAAUCCAGAUUAGAAAUGGACAAGGUUGCACAUAAAAGCCACUCAGGAACAGUGAGAAUACAACACGAGGAGUUUGAGCGUAGUGGAAAUGGAACAUAUUGAUGUUUGCAUCAAAAGAUGAACUCUGCUGCAACAAUCUGUCCAAUUAAGAACAAGUUAGGAUAUGGGGUAAUUGCCAGCAACUGGCCUGGGGAGAUUGUAGAAAGCUGGGCAACAUCAGAAGCAAGUCAAGGCAGCAAGGAUCCUGCAGAAGCUGAAGCUAGCAAAUAUGAUUAACCAAAGCCAUUAAUUUACAAUUACUAAUCUGAUGCUAAAGCUGCAAACAUAGCCGAAGAUAUAUUGGUCUUGAGUCCUCUGUUUUGUAUGUGGUCGGUUUCAAAAGGAUGUAAGGGUUCGGAAAGAGCAAUGGAUAAAACUUUGGGGUUAUUGAAAAAGUGAAGAAGCAAAGGUACAAAUCAGCUACAACAUUCUUAAUAAAGUUGUGUUUAUUCAAUGUUGUAAUCUUGGUUAUGAUUUUGAAAUUUAGAAACUAAGUUUGUACUUGUUAGGGAUUUGCUAUGUUAGCACUUGUUACUGACUUUUAGUUCAACAAAUUAUAUUUGAGU